GACAGAGGUGCCAAGCGUUAGGCGGAAUUACUGGGCGUAAAGCGUGCGCAGGCGGCUUCUCAAGUCAGGGGUGAAAGCCCAGAGCUCAACUCUGGAAUUGCCUUUGAGACUGAGUGGCUUGAGUACGAGAGAGGUGAGUGGAAUUCCCAGUGGUAGAGGUGAAAUUCGUAGAUAUUGGGAAGAACACCGGUGGCGAAGGCGGCUCACUGGCUCGUAACUGACGCUCAUGCACGACAGCGUGGGGAUCAAACAGG
rnacentral:rRNA from 1 species